GCUUGGGAAUAUGCCUUUGAGUGGGGACAACAGUUGGAAACGACUGCUAAUACCGCAUAACGUCUACGGACCAAAGAGGGGGAUCUUCGGACCUCUCGCUCAUAGAUUAGCCCAAGUGAGAUUAGCUAGAUGGUGGGGUAAUGGCCUACCAUGGCGACGAUCUCUAGCUGGUUUGAGAGGAUGAUCAGCCACACUGGGACUGAGACACGGCCCAGACUCCUACGGGAGGCAGCAGUGGGGAAUAUUGCACAAUGGGCGAAAGCCUGAUGCAGCCAUGCCGCGUGUGUGAAGAAGGCCUCC
rnacentral:rRNA from 1 species